AACCAUAGAAACCUGCGGAGUACCUGCGGAAGGAUCAUUACCGAGUCACGUGCUCAAAUAACCCUUCUGUGGGCCUGAAAUAAAACCGUUGCCUCGGCGGGCGGUCCCCCCAACCAAACCCCACGUGGUGGGUUAGGGGACCAGACAGUCCGGCACGCUUAAGGCGUCCGGCGCCAGCCGCUGGCCCCAAACAAUUAAACUCCUAGUAACCUUUACCUUCUGAGUUUCAAUAUUUUAAAA
rnacentral:misc_RNA from 1 species